GACGAACGCUGGCGGCGUGCUUAACACAUGCAAGUCGAACGGAAAGGCCCUGCUUUUGUGGGGUGCUCGAGUGGCGAACGGGUGAGUAACACGUGAGUAACCUGCCCUUGACUUUGGGAUAACUUCAGGAAACUGGGGCUAAUACCGGAUAGGAGCUCCUGCUGCAUGGUGGGGGUUGGAAAGUUUCGGCGGUUGGGGAUGGACUCGCGGCUUAUCAGCUUGUUGGUGGGGUAGUGGCUUACCAAGGCUUUGACGGGUAGCCGGCCUGAGAGGGUGACCGGCCACAUUGGGACUGAGAUACGGCCCAGACUCCUACGGGAGGCAGCAGUGGGGAAUAUUGCACAAUGGGCGGAAGCCUGAUGCAGCAACGCAGCGUGCGGGAUGACGGCCUUCGGGUUGUAAACAGAAUUAGCAUGUGACGAAGAGUGAGUGACGGUAAUGGGUAAAGAAGCACCGGCUAACUACGUG
rnacentral:rRNA from 1 species